GGCGACGCUCAGUCUCGCCUGUCGCAAUCCGGUGCAGAUAUACGUGCAAUUACCCUGUCAACGGUACUUAAAAUCUCCGGCUCUCCGUCGCGGCGAGCUUUCGCCAGACGAGUCGGAUCGGAAACGGGAGUUUGUCCAGUGAUCGAAGGAGUUUCUGAAUUUUUUUUUUACUUUUUCACAAGGUGUUUUUGAAACGGUGCGGUUUUCGCGGGCUAAGAAAAAAAUUAACGCGUUGUUACAACCCCCCGAACGAGGGUGACGACUUUGUUUUUACUCGGAGGGUUUUUAAAAUCGACGGGAACGGGCCAACCUGGCGAAGCAACGAGGAAAAGGGGAAAAAUCGAAGGGGUGAAUCCGCUAUUGAGAGGAAAGACACUUGACGUCCGGUGGUGCGAAACGCGCGCGAUUAGAACGCCUCGUAACGCUGCCUCUUUGCAGCGCACCUUGUAAGCGGCAAGUGUGGUGAAAUCGCCGUCACGAUGCUCUGACAUUAGCGCCAAAACACUGUAGUGAAUCCUGGCUAAAUUCGAGGGGAUAUAUAGUUCGCCUAGUUAAUCCCCUGCACUCGCGAGGAAAAGAAGGCGGGGGGAUUUAUUGCCCGCAGUUUCCCGUGACGAACCGUCAUUAGCCGCCUCUGAAAUCUCGCCAAUUUCUUUCGAGACCAUGGAUCGCCACCUGUGGCUAGGCGUUACUCUGCUUUUUGCUAUUUCGCAAGGUGUGAGAUGCCUGCGGGACGUCAGUCUGGAAGUUCUGCCCGAGGUUGUUCAGAGAGGUCAGGAAGCGAUUUUACGAUGCCGCUACGACCUGCAGGACAGACCGCUGUACUCGGUCAAGUGGUACCGGGGUAACCACGAGUUUUACCGAUUUGCACCGAAGGACUCACCCGCGACAAAGACCUUCCCCAUCGCCGGCAUUAACGUUGACGUCACGAACUCGAACGGCAGUCAAGUUAUGCUGAGGAACGUGGAUUUCAGACUGUCCGGGAACUUUAGCUGCGAGGUUACGGCCGAUGCACCAUCGUUCUCAACGGCCUUUGUGACGAAGAAUUUGAACGUAGUAUCUUUACCCCAAGGAAGGCCCGCGAUUGCAACCGGUAGAGACCGUUAUGAUCCUGGAGAUACUCUCGAAGCAAAUUGCACUUCACCGCCUUCAAAACCAUCCACCCACCUUUCAUUCACGCUCAACAACGUGCCGGUCGGUCAAGCCAACGUGAAGCAGCGCAAGUUCGACUCGAACUUCGAUGGCCAUCAGCAUCUCGCCACGAGCCCCGGGCUUUUAGGGAGCGAGCUAAGCCUGGUCCUCAAACUGCUUCCGUCUCAUUAUGUCAACGGUCAAUUGAACCUGCGAUGCUUGGCUGAGAUUCCGGCCGUAUACACGUCGAUGAGCGAAGUGCAGCUCGGCCCAGGACAGCGGGAGCCGAUCCCCGAGAGAGCUAACGCGAGUCUAAAACCGAUUGGAAAACGGCUCCAUCAACGAUCUGUUAAAGAGAUGGAACUUUCUGAAGUUGAUGAGCUUCUCCAUGAAAUGGAAGCAACGGAAGCUGAACUUGCUAAACGGAUUAGUAACAGAAGUUCGUAUCAGCUUCGUCAGGGAGACGUGUGCCACCCGAAUUCUAUCAGCGAAAAUGAUGUUAGGUUUAAAGAAGUGAAUUGGGACCAAGGAUUCAAUAGUGCAUCCCCAGCUUGUCGCUUGGACUCUAACUCUCAAUGUACUAAAUUAAGUGAUCCUCACCAAAAUCUUCCAACAGCCGUGACAAACAUCUGCAUGGCUUUCGAUGAGGAUUCCCUACAUUUCGAUGCGACCGACAAGAUGAUAGCUGAUUUCAAAACUUGGCGUUACAACUGUUGCCCAACAGUGCCACAAAAGGUUGAACAAGCUAAUAAUAAUCAUAAGGAUAGUAUGGCUAUGUCCGAGGAUUUGGAAAAACAAACUUAUGCGCGGUCAAAUUCUUUGUCAAAUGCAAAUAUUGAUGUAAAUAAAAAAAUCAUUGGGUCAGAUCAACCUACAAUAGCCGUCAAUAGUGACAAUGCACAUUUGCACGCAUCAAAUGAUCGUACGAAUUCAAAUACUGCUGCUUCGAAUUUGCAUAGUGAUACUUCGAAAGCUUACACGCCUGUACAUUCCACACAUGUAGAGUCUGGUCAAAGGCAGUUUGCACAAUCUCAUAGAAAUUCUUAUAGCACUGGUAAUUUAUUGAACUGCACGAAUGAGGACAUCCAUGUUUUCCAAAAUGUUGACGCAACGCACAAGAUGGGUAAUGAUGCAGCUACAAAUACAGAAUUCUCAAGAAAAUCACACCGGCUGUUAACACUCUCUGACUUUUGGGAAUCAGAUCCAAGUAAAUCUCAAGAGGAUAUGCUUCGGAUCAAAUUGGAAGAAGAAAAAUUUAGAAGAGAUCAUUGCGAGCACUUGAUUCAAGAACUUCAAAAAAGACUGCUUGAACAACAAGAAAAAGUAGCAGUAGCGGUGAGGGUAGAUAAUGAAAAAAACGUUGUUAUAACAAGACUUCAAAAUGCUUGGACCAAGUUGAAAUUGAGGUGGCAAGUAUUGGAAGCGGAAUCAAGUGACUUACAUUUAACCCUGAAAAACGUAAAAGAUAAACAUCGAACGGAAUGUACUGAACUUCAAUCCCAGAUCAAACGGUACGAAGGGGAAUUAUCGAAAGCACUGGAUCUAGCUGGUGGUUAUAAAGAAAAAAGUGAUACCUUGACUAAAGAAAAAUUAGAUUUAUUAAAGAGUCAUGCAGAUGAGCUAGAAAAUUAUAAAUCUUUGGUACAAGAAGUUGAGAAUAGGUACAGUCAACUAAAAGAUGAAUACAACAAAGUACUAGAUCACAACCAACAACUUGGAGUGGCACUGAAAAAUACUCAGCAAGAAGUGAAUAAAGAGAGACUUCGAGGCGGUGAAGUAAGAGAAGAAAUGGGUGUAAUUCAUAAAGCUCUCGACGCCUGUGAAGCGGAGCUGAUCGUUCUUCGGCAAGAAAAGGAAAAUCUUCAGCUAAAAUUGAAAGAAGAAACGAAUAGAAAUCAUAUUUUGGAACAAAAUAAGUCUACCCUUCUUACAGCCAUAGAUGAAGCAAAAAUGGCAGAGAAAGCAGCUAACGCGGAAGCAAAGUCUAUAGCUGCUCAACAAGAAAGAAUAAGAAUAGAAUUGCGAGAGGUUUACCAGAAACAAGUCGACGAAGUAGUGAAAGCUAAGCUCCAAGAAUUUCAAUCACAACUUGAUGCAGCCGAAUCUGCGUUUCACUCUGAGUUGGAAAGUAGGCAGCGUGCAAUCGCUGAAUGUGCAGCUAGGAAGAUCAAAACUGUUCUUGAUAAACAUCAGCUAGAGAUAAAUUUAUUGGAGGAAAAGCAUAAAGAAGAAAAACGGCUGUAUGAAAUUCAAUUGGCCCAGGCUAUGCAACAGGUUUCAAUGCUGAAUACUAAGUUGAAUUCUCAACACGCCAACAAGACUCAACUUGCCGAGCAAUUGCACUCAGUCAUGCAAAGGCAAUGGCAGCAAGCACUGCAAAUUAUAUCAGGUGGUAAUAUGGAUAAUCUAACUCCCAUACAACGUAUUCAUGCUGAAAAGUUUUUUGAAAAUAAACAUCCAAUGAAGUCAGAAUCCAGCCCGAAUAUCGGGAGCAGUAUUAUGGAGCCUAUGCGACUGGAGUCACAUUCCAUGCCCGUGAUUGAUGGGCGGGGCUUCCUUUCUGCCCGUUUAACUGAAGAAAGAGAUGGAUACGCGAAAUCAAACACUUUAACUGAUAAUACUCCAUUAACAAGCCGCAGAGAUCAGCCAAAAGAUGAUCUUCGUAGAUAUAUCAAAAUGAUAUUGGAUAUGCAACAGCCAAAGUCAAACUUUGUGCAAGCACCGUGUUCUGAGUCACGCCAAAGUCCAACUCCGAUUUGCAGAGAAGUCCCUAGAAAGCAUUACACGAAGAAAGAACAGAGUUUUCUCAGUGAAGAUAGCAGUGUGGUUUGGCAACCAAGUUCCGAGGUCUUUACUCAAGAAGAAAGUGAAUAUGUUUCUGUUCCUGAAAAACCGGCGGCAAAGGGGGAUCAGCAGAAAAAUAAGCCUCCGUGGAAAUGAAUUCUUCAAUUCAAUUUUGUUGAACCACAUUAAUAAUGUCAAAUUUUGACAGUCAACUAGAUAUACGCAUUUGUGAAAUAUUGCGUCCGAAAGUUGGUGGUCUGCUGACCAGCUGGAUAAGUUUUGAUAUCAAUAUUCUAUAAUUACGGACGUCAGCGACCUUCGAAAAUGUAAAUUGUGAUUAUUCAUCUGAAACACAUAGUAGACCAGGUAUACGAGUCUCUGAAUCAUUUAUCUCGUUCCAUGGUACGCAACAUGGACACAAAUCCUGAGCUCGGAAACUUCGCGUCGAAGACAACCGCCGACCGUCACGUCAUACAAUAAUGCAUACCUUUCAAUCUCCUUCCUGGACUUGAUUCGCAUCGUAAUAUGUCGAAUUCAAAAAUACGCAAAAUCGGAUUGGAUUUUUACAGAAUUGUGCGACAAGUUCUAGAUAUUUAAGGUUUUUUCAGUCCCAGCUUUAGCUAACUUACACGCGUGCUUGGCACACGUAAGCAUAAGAGCACUUGGAGGGGCAACCAUGUACAAUAUCUGAACAUUUAUACAUGUUUAUGGGUAUGUAGAAUAUUCUACAAACGUUUGGACUAUAAUUUCGAACAUCGAACAAAAUUCUAAACCGUCAGAAACUUACUGUGAACACCGAGUCAUUAGCCAACGUUGUCAAGCCUGGUUCCCGGCACUAAUCAAACCAACGAUCCGAAUGUCCCACAUUUUGCUACAGUUUACCAAAGCUAAGUACCAACGAACGUUUGCUUUCAUUUUGCAAUCUUUAUUUGUCAUGUGAAAUUCGUAUAUAGCUCCACAUUGUUUUUCGCAGACCUUUGCAUUAAAGAAUUAUAUUCAUGUGAUGUAAUGAAGUCUUCGAGUGUAGAACCACUUUUUGAACUAUAGCUCCGAGGGACUUACGUGAGAUUCAG
rnacentral:misc_RNA from 1 species